GAUGAACGCUAGCUACAGGCUUAACACAUGCAAGUCGAGGGGUAACAAGAGAAAAGCUUGCUUUUCUUGUUGACGACCGGCGCACGGGUGAGUAACGCGUAUCCAACCUGCCUAUAACUAGGGAAUAACCUUGCGAAAGUAAGACUAAUACCCUAUGAUUUCCUUUGAUGACCUCAGCUUAGGAAUAAAGAUUUAUCGGUUACAGUUGGGGAUGCGUCUGAUUGGCUUGUUGGCGGGGUAACGGCCCACCAAGGCAACGAUCAGUAGGGGUUCUGAGAGGAAGGUCCCCCACAUUGGAACUGAGACACUGUCCAAACUCCUACGGGAGGCAGCAGUGAGGAAUAUUGGUCAAUGGGCGGAAGCCUGAACCAGCCAAGUAGCGUGCAGGAUGACGGCCCUAUGGGUUGUAAACUGCUUUUAUACAGGAAUAAAGUUAGCCACGUGUGGUUAUUUGUAGGUACUGUAUGAAUAAGGACCGGCUAAUUCCGUGCCAGCCGCCGCCGUAA
rnacentral:rRNA from 1 species